ensembl:lncRNA
GGAGAAGGCAAUGGCACCCUACUCCAGUACUCUUGCCUGGAAAAUGCCAUGGAUGGAGGAGCCUGGUGGGCUGCAGUCCAUGGGGUUGCUAGGAGUCAGACAUGACUGAGCGACUUCACUUUCACUUUUCACUUUCAUGCAUUGGAGAAAGAAAUGGCAACACACUCCAUUGUUCUUGCUUGGAGAAUCCCAGGGACGGGGGAGCCUGAUGGGUUGCCGUCUAUGGGGUUGCACAGAGUCGGACAUGACUGAAGCGACUUAGCAGCAGCAGCAGCAGAGGGGACAAGACACAACUGCAGGUGAACCUACCUUUCAUGCUUGUCCUGGUAAAUUGGAAUCAUUACCAGGAAACCCACCUGAGGAAUCUCCAGGAGCCCCAGGGAUGAUGAACCUCGCAGGGAUAAAGACCAAAACAGGCACAGGCCUGUAUAAAGUGAAUACCAUAAAGUAUUAAUUCCUAAACACAAGUGAAGCUCACAGACACAGACAUAAUGGCCUGCCUGAGUGAGAUAAGCUGAGCUGCCCACCUGUGAAGGACUGUAAGGAAAGGAAAUUGACACAUUCCCCUGCCUGAGGCCUGCCAUUCUAGGAGACAUUUGCAAGGAUUGAAUAGUCUUUUUUCUUUGUUUUCUCAUCUCCCCUCAUCUCUGAUCCUUAAAAGAACCUGGCAACCAGGCCCUGGUAAGAAUGGUUAUUUUGAGGUGCUAGCCUGCCAUCUUCUCAACUUGCUGACUCCUGGAUUAAAAGUCUCUUCCUUGGCCUCAACUCCUUGCCUCUCAGAUUCACCUACAACACACACCAAGUUGUAUAGCAAUGCUACUACAAUAAGAAACAAAAGUGAAUUUAAUAAAAAGUGUGGGAAUGAGACACACGCUUUUGGGUGUUUAUGCUGGCACGUUCUUAUUCUAUUCUCUCAUUUAAAGUUAAGGUUCUGGUUCCAGGGUAACCGCAGCAGCCCAGAGGAAAUCCUGCCACCUUGUGACCAUUCUCCGCCAUAGCAACCUGGAAAUGAUUAUAGCCGCUUAAUAAUCACAACUGUGGAGUGUAAAGAUAGCUACCCUCAAAAACCCUCAGGAGUAACCAAUCAAACAAAAAUGAAAAAAAGCGCAAGCAGAAGUGAAGAAGGAAUUCAUAGGGCCUGGACUCCAUCUUAGUCCUGUUCAUGCUGAUCAUGCUCGGCCACCUUUCCAAUGGACUCUGAACUCUGGUGCCUAUGAAAACAACAACAGAAGGAGAAGACCCCCUCCAGACAGGGGAACCUUGAAGAUCCUAUCUAGGUUACUCAUCGCCUAAGAGAAAACAUACACUAAUCACCCCUUCCUCCAGACAGGCCAUAAAUUCUUCUGUAUCAAUCGGAGUGUAACCUCGGGUUUAUUGAUUAUUGGCUAACUGACUGUUUGAGCACAUAGCACGUGAAUGAUGGGGUUACUGGGAUUGUAUUUUCCUUGGUUUAUGUAAGUCUCAAGGAAUUUGGAGUGGUGGGUUCAGACACGUACACACGGGGUGUAAAAGAUUUUCACAAAUGCUGGUCGGGGUCCUUGGCUAAGAGGAGACUCUGCCUUGGGCCCGUCGGUGUGAUAAACUGCACUCCACUAUCUGCAUUGUCCUUCUGAGUGAGUUUGUUUCCCGGAACAUGUGGCUACAACAGAAGCAAAUAUCAAUAGGAAAAUGCAAUUCACAAAGUUUACAGAGAAAAGCAUAUGAAAAUGUGAACAAUGUGACGAAUUAUUAGAGAUAAAGAAAUCAAAACGACAAUGAGGUUUCACCUCAGGAAUGUGGUUAACAAGGCCAUCACAAAAAAAAAGUGCAGGAGAAACGCUAGAGUGGGGUUAAGGAAAGGGGACCAUUUCACGGUGCUGGUGCUCUGUAAUUGGUAACAGCCAUUCUGAGGACCACUGUGCGAGCACGCAGGCGCACGCAUGCGUGGUAAACACGGAAGUGCCGUAUGACCUGGCAGUCCCACUCUUAAGGGUGUAGGUGGACAGAAUUGGAUUCGGAAAAACCCAUACACACAAGCGGACCGGCUCAAAAUCGGGAAAGGAGUACAACAAAGCUGUAUAUUGUCACGCUGCUUAUUUUACUUCUAUGCAGAGUACAUCAUGCGAAAUGCAGGGUUGGUUGGAUGAAUCACACAUGGAAUCAAGAUUGCUGGGAGAAAUACGAAUAACCUCAGAUGUGAUCUAUGAUAUAUUGUGCAGUUAUUUAAAAGGGUGAAUUAGAUUUACAUUUGUUGGCCAGGAAAAUAGUCAUCAUGUAUUGUUAAAAUUAGAAAGUCUGCAGAGUGGUGAGAGAGAUUUACUCUCAGAUAACUCCCUGAUAACUGCGGUUUCAUAUUCUCUGUGAAUUUGACUACUCGGAGUAUCUCUUUUAAGUGGAAUCACACUGUAUCUGUCCUAUCAUGUUUCACUUAUUUGACUCAACAUAAUGUCUGCAAGGGUUUCCCCAGUGGCUCAGCAGUAGAGAACCUGCCUGCCAAUGCAGGAGCUCCAGGAGAUGCAGGUUCGAUCCCUGGGUCAGGAAGAUCCCCUGUAGGAGGA